AGAAGCUUGGACCGCAUCCUAGCCGCCGACUCACACAAGGCAGGUGGGUGAGGAAAUCCAGGCUUUAGCUUUUCCUGGGAAUCAACUGUGGAAUGCCAGAAAGAAAAAGUAAUUUAA
rnacentral:sRNA from 1 species